rnacentral:rRNA from 1 species
GACGAACCGUGCGAACGUUGUUCGGAAUCACUGGGCUUAAAGGGCGCGUAGGCGGGCUGUCAAGUCGGUGGCGAAAUCGGUCCGCUCAACGGGAGAAUGGCCUUCGAUACUGGCGGUCUGGAGGGAGGUAGGGGCAUGCGGAACUUCCGGUGGAGCGGUGAAAUGCGUAGAUAUCGGAAGGAACACCGAUGGCGAAAGCAGCGUGCUGGACCUUUUCUGACGCUGAGGCGCGAAAGCCAGGGGAGCAAACGGG